AUGGAUUCCAUCGACGGCUCCUUUGAUUACAGUUUUAGUGUGGACAGUCCGACGGGUCUGAACCAGGGUUUCCUGCUCAACACCGACAACGCCACAGACUCCAAUAUGUACGGCGUUAUCCCAGAAACACCCAGUCCACAGCCCAGCAAACGCAGGAGAAGUGACAGAGAAGAACAUUUAAAUCCAGAGGCUGUCAGCAGCUCUUCUUCUGAAGAGCUGUUCUCCAGUGGGGAACGAAAGUCUCUGUGUUCACGCAAGCGCAGGUGCCUGGUUGCUGGGAGCAGAAAACGUAGCGUCAGCUUAACUGCAUCACCAGAACAGAGAAUUUUUGACCUUUCUCCAACUGUGAGGACUUUACCCGAGGAAAGCUACCUGUCAUCUGCUUCCUCAACCUCCUCAUCAGUAGUGGAGCUGGAUGUUCAGGUGGUGGAUUCUCCUGUGGCCAGUCCUUCCCCUGCAAACAGUCCCAGUCCCGAAGCUGACAGGACAAGGAGCUGGGAAAGUCUGACCAUGUCAGCAGCCUCUUCAGCCUCACCGUUGCCAGCAGCUCUUCAGUCCGAUUUUCUUUUCUCCCUUACUGAUGUGGAGAGGAGGCAGCUCUGUGGGGGGCACGAAGAGAAUUUAGCAGCAGUGACAGAAAUCCUUGACAGAAGUCACGCUCGCCUGGAACAGGAGCAGGCAGACGAAGAGUUUGCUCGAUAUUUGCAGGUAGGAAGAUGUGCCACCUAUAGAGGUUGGCUGGACUGAAAGAACACAGUUGGACAGAGUGAACAUGUAUCUGAUUCUUUCUUGUCCUUAAGGCCCAGUUUGAUGAAGAGCAAGCCAGCUCUCGCCAGCAGCAGAGGUCAUAUAGGGUAAGACCUGAGUCUGAACCGUGCUGUACAUUGCAAUAUCAUGCAGAAUUUCAAUUUCCUUUUAACCUUUUUUUCUGCACAGUACCACAGAUCUGUCCAUCACAACCUACGGCAGAGAGAACCUCAAAACAGUGAGUAAAUAAAGACAGCUUUACGACAUUUACACAGCACACAUCUAUGUAUACAUUUAUUUGGUGUUAGUUACAUCAGCUGCUAGCAAAAACAUACUUUUAAUCUAUCAUUAUUUUCCUUCUGCUCUUGUAUAAGUAUUGGAAAGUUUUUACAACACUGACAGCUGCUGCGACAUGCAGAAAGAAUUUAAAUCAAUGCAUUUUUUGAAAUUUAAGAUCGAGGAUGUAUGACCAGCAUGUUGAUCUAACCUUUGUUUGCUCAUCUGAUUGGCUGGGAGGGAAUAGGUGGCUUGGGCAGGUUCCCCCGCUCUCAAGAUCCUCUGGAAGGUGAUUACGAGGUGCGUACACGAACAGCUCUGGGCUCAUAUUCACCAUUCAGGCAUCUGGAUCCAGUGUGCCGAACUAAACAAGAAGCACAGUAACAUCUAUUUACUCUUUCAGGCCCUCCUGCAGUUUGAGGAGCAACAGGGUGCAGUCGUGGUCAGAAGUCUUAGUUCACAGGAAAUUUCAAGAUUUCCCACCAAAAAAUUUGGGAGUGGCACCUGUGCAGGAAGCGCUGUGUGAGUUGGACUGUUAUUGAAUAGUGUGUCUGUAUGGAGGCGCGCCGCUGCGGAUGCUGACUCCUCCUCUGCUGAUUGACUGACAGGUGUAACGUUUGCUUAUGUGAUUAUACUGAUGGGGAGACGCUGAGGACCCUGCCGUGCCUCCACAGCUAUCACAGGGACUGUAUUGACCACUGGCUCAAAGUAAGACAUACUUAAUGGAUAUACAUGGUGACAAAGUGGAGCUCAGCAAGAUGUUGCAGCAUUUAUUUCCCAGACU
rnacentral:lncRNA from 1 species